rnacentral:ncRNA from 1 species
GCUAAUCAGGCUCGUCGAGGUUCUCCAGGUCCCGAUUGACCUGGAGCUAAGAGGGAAGCCGGUGUGAUGCCGGCGCUGCCCCCGCAACUGUAAGCGGCGAGCUGUUGUCCAUCCAAAGCCACUGAGGCGCGAGCCUCGGGAAGGCAGGACAAGAGCGACGACCCGCGAGCCAGGAGACCUGCCCCGACAACAUACACGUC